UCAAAGUGUGGCAACCCACAAAAGGAGUGGGCAGCAUUUGAAUUUCUCCCGUGUUGAAAUUGAGAUUCUCCUACAUCCAUCAGGAUGUUCCAGUGCUGCCUAAACCUUUCGGGGCUGUAAUCCCAAGGUCUGCUGGAGAAUCGACCACCAUCAGAUGUCUUAGCCGGUCUUCCUAUUCCAAAAGAAAUACCAGAGAAGCAGAGAUCUAUUGGGAUAGAGAAAUUAAAGAAGAUUAACAUUAAUAUAAAAAAAUAGCACUGGAGAAAUUAAUGAGAC